CAGAGGUAGAAGCCUGUGUUGGUAGUUGUCACUGAGGGAUGCAUUUCAAGCACCUCACAGCAGCUUGAAUCAUGCAGUUGUUUGUAUGGCCAGUGAUGACAGCCUUUCUUCAUUCCCCCAACUACUGACUCAAAAUCCUGAUUUUGGUGUUUUGCAACAAACAGUAACAGCACUUACUUCUAUAGUUCAGAAUUUGGCUAAGAAAGUGAAUUCUCUUUGUCCUAUGCCCCCGAUGACAUCAGAGGUAAUUCCUGCCUCAGUACAGAAGGCAACAUGGCAGUUCCAUGCCUGAGAAACAUUUUAACUGCUUCUAAUCUUUCAGAUGCCUCCCAAAUGAGCUAUGGACUUUCCAAAUCUUUGUUGGCUGGUGUUUCCAGCACUUUUACAGCUUCUAUUCCUUUUGGACAGUGAAGCAUUCAUAGUACACAGGAUUUUAACAGCUCAGCAUCAGCAUCUCUAUUAAAAGACUGGUUAUCUGCUUCCAUUAAUCUGAAUCACAGACAUCCAGCCAGGACUCAUGCUGGUAAUACUAACUUACACAUUCUUUUUGAAGAGUUUGAUUAUUAUCUUGCUAAAAUUAAGCAUUUGUAAUUAGACAAUGGUUAUUUUACUGACUGCCUAAAAGAAAAGCUUGUACCUAAAGGACUGUGCAUGUGGCAUUACCCUAAUAGUUUACAGCAAGAUUCAUCUGUGUUUAAAGAACUUACUGCACUAUUUGACCAGCAUGGAAUAGAAUACAUGAAUGUUAUUAUUAAACAUGAUAAAGUUUUGAUAAAUGAA